GUUUCCAUAGUGUAGUGGUUAUCACGUUUACACGAAUUGAAAGGUCCCCAGUUUGAAACUGGGUGGAAACA
rnacentral:tRNA from 1 species